rnacentral:rRNA from 1 species
GGGGAAUCUUCCGCAAUGGGCGAAAGCCUGACGGAGCAAUGCCGCGUGGAGGAUGAAAGCCUAUGGGUCGUAAACUCCUUUUCUCAGAGAAGAAAUUUUGACGGUAUCUGAGGAAUAAGCAUCGGCUAACUCCGUGCCAGCAGCCGCGGUAAGACGGGGGAUGCAAGUGUUAUCCGGAAUAAUUGGGCGUAAAGCGUCUGUAGGUGGUUUACCAAGUCUGUUGUUAAAACUCAAGGCUUAACCUUGAUCAGGCAACAGAAACUAGUAAGCUUGAGUACGGUAGGGGCAGAGGGAAUUCUCGGUGUAGUGGUGAAAUGCGUAGAUAUCGAGAAGAACACCAAUAGCGAAAGCACUCUGCUGGGCCGAAACUGACAUUGAGAGACGAAAGCUAGGGGAGCGAAAGGGAUUAGAUACCCCAGUAGUC